GGGGGCGUCACGGUUUCGACGUGCUUGGUGAACGUCGAGCUGCGUGCCGAGGUCUCCGAUACCUCGUUAAUCCUCGGAAAAACCAAUAGUUGCCAACUCUGAUCUGGCACUGGCCGCGUAAGUAACCCUUACUGGCCCGCUCCUUGAGUCGCCCGCCCGAGGCGGCUCCCGCGAGCGACGAUGAGUCGGGCUGGCGUUCGGUGUAGUCACCUCUCCGGACGUGAGAACACACGGUGACUGGUCGCUGUGCAGGCGGUGUGCUGGCCGGCAGUGGACGAGAUAAUCAGCGCUCUACGCACGUAGAAGCUCGGUAGGAUCCAUUCGCGGACGCGGGUUCGACUCCCGCCGCCUCCACUG
rnacentral:tmRNA from 1 species